rnacentral:lncRNA from 1 species
UUCAGGUCAGCCUUCCCAUCUUUUAUUUGCUUACUUUUAUGAAUGAUCUUUCUUGUUUAUGGCUUACGAAGGAAAUUUAGAAUAAUCUUACCUAGUAAAAAGUAAUUUUAUUGAUAUUUUUACUAGGACCACCUAUGGGGUUAUCCAUUGGAAUUUGGCAGGGGAGAGGGCUAAUUUAGAUCAAUUUUUAGUUCCCCUAUACUGUUGUUAUGCAUAUCUCUUAUGCUAUAGCAAGGAGAUGGACAUCCUCAUUUGAAUAGUGCUUUAUCCAACAGGGA